GAAACGUUAAUCUGUAAAAAUGAAAUGAGAACUGAGGAAAAUAGAGAUGGAUGAGAAAGGGGGUAAGUGAUUAUGUCAUUUACAAGAGAGUAAUUAGGAAGAGUAUUUAAGAAUUUAAUGAUAUUUAGGAAGGAAAAUUUAGGGAAGGAAUUUGGCAGAUGAGUUUAAGGGAAGAUAAAUGAGAUUUCAAAUUAGUAUGGAAAUGAGAAUUUCACAGAAGAAGAAAAAGAGGAAUCAUCCCCUGAAAACCAGGGAUAAUGAGAGUCGAUCCUGACCUAUAAUAAAUCUAUAAAGGAAAACAGAAUAUGGAGGAGUAUAGGAAAAGAAGAUGGGCUACGUGUGUGAGUGGCCGAGCUUUUGGCCAAAAUAGUUGUGAAGGCAAUUGACUAUUGUGCUCUAGUGAGGGAGCGAAUAACUAUGAUGUUAUGUGCCCAUUUGGUGGGUCAGAGAGGUUGAUGCCCCAGAGAGAAAGUGGCAUUGUGUGUGUGAGUGGCUGGGCUUUUGGUCGAAAUAGUUGUGAAGGCAGCUGAUUGUCAUGCUCUAGCGAGGGAGCAAAUAACUGUGAUGUUAUGGGCCCAUUUGAUGGGUCUGGGGGUUGAUAUCCUGGAAAGAAAGUGGCAUUGUAUGUGUGAGUGGUUGGACUUUUGGCCAAAAUUAUUUUAAAGGCAAUUGACUGUCGUGCUCCAGUGAGGGAGCGAAUAACUGUGAUGUUAUAGGCCCAUUUGAUGGGUUGGGGGGUUGAUACCCUGAAGAGAAUUAUUGACUGAGUGAUCCAUAUGUAUAUGGAAAACUAUGAAUGUGUGUGUGUGUGUGAAAUAAUAUUGAUUUUUGGUCCUUUGGGAUGAAGUAAUAUAUAUAUAUAUAUAUAAUUAAUGAGACUAACAGAAGAAUAUGAAUUUUUGGUCCUAGUAUUUAGGUAAUUAAGAACAUGAUUUAUGGAAAAAAAAUAGAGCUGUAUGUAGAAGAUGAAAAUUAUAGGGAAAUUUAUGGGUGCAAGGCAUAUUAAACUACACAAAGAGUGGCUGGAGGGAAAUAUGAGAAAUGGAUACUAUGGGGGAGAAAUAUUUAUGUCUGAGGUUCUUACCAGAGGAAGAAUUUAGUGGUAAUAGCAGGUGAGGUUGGGAAAUAUUGGGUAGAAAUGUGGAGGAAUUAGAGAAUAAUACAACGUGGGUAAUGGUAAUAUAGUAUAAAAUAUAAUAAGUAGAGUUUGAGUGUGGUACAUAGAAGUUUAGUGGUAAUGUUUUCUGUUCGUAAGUGUGAAUUUCAUAUUUUUCUUACUGGGUAUGUGGAGCUCAUUACGUGUAUAUUUUAAAAACAGUGAAAUAGGAAGAAGACCCAGGUUUACAGGAUUUAUGUCUCCAAGCAUAGAUGCGCAGAGGCGUUUUUCCACUAUCGUAAAAUCAAACUCCUUCUGGAUUUAAAAUAGCAUAGACAUACUUAACUUUAAAUACAAUAGGGAUAAGUUUACUCUUGUAUUUAAAUAUUUUCAAAAUUUUUUGAAGGAAAGGGAUAAUAAUUUCUUUAGAGGGAGAAUCAACCAAGAGAGAAGACUUCUUCCUAAAUCAUGUGAUAUCUUAAAGGAAGAGAAAAUCGAAUCUCAUUCCUUAAAGAAUUAAAUCCCACGGUUUAGGAAAGAUAUUGGUGGCCUUUUUAUUCUUUUAAUGGCCAACUAUAAUUAACCAUAUUUACUUCCCCUAAGUCCUCCAUAAUUAAUCAAAAUAUUCUUAUUUAAAAAGAGAAUAUCAUAUCUAGCUUAUUAGUCAAAGUCUUCUUAAUUUUUAUUAUUUUCUCAUUCAAGACAAGACUUAAUUUUCUUGUAAUUUCUACCAUUAAUGUAGGAUAUUUAUUUUCUUGUAAUGCACAUGACCUACUCUAUAAAUAGAUCUUCAAUUCACAAUUGUAAUCAUUCAAGUUUGAGAAUAAUAAAACUAUGAAAUUCUAGUUUCCAACUUGUUAGGUUUCUUCAACCUUCUUGUUGAAUGAGAAUUGAUUCAACUUAUCAAGGUAAAUCCUUGUGGCGUUUUAUCAAUUUUCUUUCGAAUUGAUUUCUAACUUAUCAAGUUCAUACUUCUAGCAUUUUUAAUCAAUUCAAACUAUCUCAAUUACCUUGGUUGACAUUCACGUAUUGAAUGUACGUCAAGUACGGGAGGAUUUGUUGAGAGUUUUAUGAUUUUGAAUAGUAAUGCUAUAUGCGGAGUUUUUGAUCAUGUUAGUUGAUCCUGGGUUCCGCAUCAUUUGGUAUCAGAGCUUAGACUUGAGAUAAAUCUUACUAUCUUGCAUCUUUUAUCCUUGCAUCUUUGUUUGUUGUUCUUCAUAUUAAAAAA
rnacentral:lncRNA from 1 species